rnacentral:tRNA from 1 species
GAGGGUAUAGCUCAAGUGGUAGAGCACAUGCUUAGUUUACACAAGGUCCUGGGUUCAAUCCCCAGUACCUCCC